rnacentral:rRNA from 1 species
GCCGGUGACAAACCGGAGGAAGGUGGGGAUGACGUCAAGUCCUCAUGGCCCUUAUAGGUGGGGCUACACACGUCAUACAAUGGCUGGUACAAAGGGUUGCCAACCCGCGAGGGGGAGCUAAUCCCAUAAAACCAGUCGUAGUCCGGAUCGCAGUCUGCAACUCGACUGCGUGAAGUCGGAAUCGCUAGUAAUCGUGGAUCAGAAUGUCACGGUGAAUACGUUCCCGGGUCUUGUACACACCGCCCGUCACACCAUGGGAGCGGGUUCUGCCAGAAGUAGUUAGCUUAACCGCAAGGAGGGCGAUUACCACGGCAGGGUUCGUGACUGGGGUGAAGUCGUAACAAGGUA